AGAUCCCUGUCAAGGAAAGGCGCCCUGUUGACCAAAGGUUUCCUAGUCUCCUCCGGUGGCCAGACGCCAAGUUUCCUCCAUCUCAGGGGGUCCAGUCUUUGCUCUGUUCGAGAUCCUCGAAAGCCGGGGAAGAGAACCUGGAGGGGAGAAGUGGGCAGGGCCCUUCUCUGUCUCCGGGCCAGAGCCAUUGCGCGGCAAAGGGCGCGGGCAGUCUUCGGGUGACUCCUCAGGGACCCAGUUCUUCACCAUUCCCAAGAGAAUACUCAAUCUGGCCGCGCCAGGCUGAGCAAAGGGCGACCAAACCCGGGCAGGGGUCCGGGGCGCAUGCGCGCUCCGAGGCCGCGGCGUCUAGGAGUUCGCUCCGUUGCGGCGGCCGCUAGGUGGCGCAUGCGCCCUGGAGGGUGCGGGCCGGUCUUUGGGAAGAAGGCGGCGGCCACGGCGAAAGGCGGGGGCGCCGUGGGGGCCGGGUCCGUGUUUACACAGCGGCGGGCGGGUGCGGACACGGAACCCGGCGCGGCGGCGGCACGAUGGUCAUGGCGCAUUUCGUCGAGAAUUUUUGGGUAAGCGCGGGAUGCUGGAAACAAGUAUGGGUUUCGGAGUCCGAGGCUUUCGGCGCCCGACCUCGGCCUGCGUGCGCUUCGGGCGGUGGCGGCGGCGGCGGCUUCUCCAGUAGGGCGAGCGUCUUCGGACCGCUGCCUCCCGGGUCCCGCCUGGCUGAGGUCCGGCGGGCGACGGGUCGCUGGCCGGUGGGGACCGCCAGGCUCGCAGCCUUCCUGACCGUGGGGACUGUCAGUGGGGCCCGGGAGCCGCGGCUGGGACACAGAGGGGCCGACCGCCGGCGGGGCCGGGACAAAGCGCCGGAUGGGGCGGGAGACGGGAGCCGGCCCCAUCGUAGGCUCCGGCGCGCACCGCGCGAGGCGUGCGCGGUGCUCGGACGCGGAGGACGGGCCCGGCACGGAGCCUUGCGCGCGCGCCGGGGAGCGCCGGGGCUCGUUGCCUUCCCGCUCCGCAGGCCCGCGUCUGAGCGCGUCAGCCCCCCACCUUAUCCACACGCAAGCCAAUGCGGGGCUGGGCUGGAUCCACACUUCCUCUUGACCUCGCAGUUCUGCUUGGAUUGUGGGUAUGCGCCCGGGACUUUGCCUCUAGGCCUGUUCACAAAGCUCACUAAAGUUGAAUUUAAUGUAAAUGAACUCUAUGGGCUUAAAUGCAUGGAGAUUUCCCUUAGCCCUCUUUUCCUCUCUCCUCAUUCUUUCCAUAGAUCUCAACUUAGUAUUAGUUUCUUCUUUGAGAAUGACUUCUCUGUCUCUCCGUGCUGUGUUUUUCUGCAGUUAUUGUUUGCUGUAAUGGGCAGUAAGUACACAGUUCAGCCAUGUACAGGAAAGAAACAUGUUUACUCAGAUAUUUUGAGUGAAUCUUAUUUUAAUGACCUGACAGUUGCAAGUACUUUAAUUCUGUUUUGGCCAAGAUAGAAAUGUUUCAAGGAGUAAUAUCUCAGUUUGCAAGGAGGGUAUGUUAAAUUCUUAAUUCUAAGGGUCUCAAGCAUAGAUUUGCUUAGUAAUCAAAUCAAUUAUAGUUACUUGUCUUGAAUGUUCCUUGUUUUCCACACACUGCAUACAUACUAAACAUUACUUUUAAAACUACUUUAUUUAGAUACAAUUCACAUUCCAAACAGUGCACCUAUUUAAAGUGUACAGUUCAAUGCUUUUUCAUAUUUUCAUAGAGUUGUGCAGACCAUCACUAUAAUUGAUUUUAGAAGAAUUUUAUCAGAAGAAACACUUUACCCAUUAGCAUUUACUUGUCAUUUUCCCCAUGUCCUGCUCUAGGCAAAUGAUCUACUCUUUGUCUCUCUAGGUUUGUCUGUUCUUCACUUAUCAUAUAAAUGGGACUAUUGUGACUGACUUCUUUCACUUAGCAUAAUGUUUUGAAGGUUCCUCCAUAAAUUGUAUUAGUGCUUAAUUAUUUUUUAUGGCCAGAUAAUUUUACAUUUUACUUAUCCAGGGAGAUGGACAUUUGGUUUUCACUUUGGUGAUUAUGAAUAAUGCUGCCAUGAACAUUUUUUGUGCAAGUUUUUGUGUGAACAUAUGUUUUCAUUUCUUUUGGGAAUGGAAUGGCUGGGUCAUAUGGUAACUCUAUAUUUAACAUUUUAAGGGACUGCCAAACUUUUCCAAACUGACUGCAGCAUUUUACAAUCCCACCAGCAAUGUCUCAGGGUUCCAGUUUUUCACAUGGUUAUCCACACUUGUUAUCUUUUUAGUUAUAAUGGGGAGAGGUGAAGUAGCAUCUCAUUGUGGUUUUGGUUUGCAUUUCUCUAUGGCUAAUGACGUUUAGCAUCUUUUCAUGUGCUUAUUUCCAUUUUUGUAUGUUCUUUAGAGAAUUGCCUGUUUACAUCCUAAUCAAGUUGUCUCUUUGUUAUUUGGUUGUAUAAGUUCUUUUUAUAUUCUGGAUACACAUUUUUUUAAUCAGAUAUAUUUUUUAAUUUUUUUUUUAGUUGUAGAUGGACACAAUACUUUUAUUUAAUCAUUUUAUGUGGUGUUGAGGAUCGAACCCAGCUCCCCACACCUGUGAGGCAAGCGCUCUGCCACUGAGCCAAAACCCCAGCCCCAGAUAUAUGUUUUGAAAGUAUUUUUUCCCAUUCUGUGGACUAUCUUGAUAAACAGCCUUUGCAGCACAUAAUUUUAAUUUUGAUGAAAUCUUGGUAAGUUCUGAUUUAUUUACUUUUCUAAUCACCUGUGCUUUUGUUGUUGUAUCUAAGAAGCCGUUGCUUAAUUCAAAAUUUACUCCUGCGUUUUCUUUGUAAGCAUUUUAUAGUUUUAGAUCAUUUUAGGUAUGUGAUUCAUUGGAAGUUAAAUUUUGUGUGUGGUGCAAGGAAUGGGUACAACUUAAGUUUUUGCAUGUAGAUACCCAGUUCCAGCACCAUUUGUUGAAAAGUCUCUCUUUUUUUCUCUAUUAAAUGGUACUCUUGUGAAACAUCACUUUAGUAUAGAUGUAUAUGUUUACUUUUGUAUUUUUAAUUUUAUUUCAUUGUUUAUCCUUAUGCCAGCCACUACCACAGUGUUUUGACUACUAUAACUUAGUAUAAUAAGUUUGGGAUUAGGAAAUGAAAGUUUUAUUCUGGGUUUUUUUUUGAAGAUUAUUUUGUCUAUUCUAAGUCCCUUGCAUUUCUAUAUGAAUUUUAGGACUAGCCUGUCAAUUUUAGGCAUGCCGUUUUAUAGUGGCAAUUUAGGAAUACCUUUUUUUUAAAAAUCCCCCUAUGCAUUUGUUUAUUUUUUAAGUUAAAGGCAAAUUCAUCAACCAGGGUCCUUACCUUUAGAGGUUCUGACCUUGGAGAUCCCGACAUUCUAGGCAUAUUACUAUUAUAUGGGGGGUGGGGGGCGAGACAGACAGACACACACACACACACAGAGACACCUAUCAAGGCUGUUUCCUGGCCUUUGUAGGAGAAGCACAUCCCUUCUCACUGAAAUCUUGGUGGUUUAUUGUGUAGGAAAAGACAGGGAAAAUUCCCCCAGCCCAUCCCACCUUUUUUUGCUGUGAUGGGGAUUAACUAGGACCUCAUGCAUGCUAUCAUUGAGCUGAAUCCCCAACUCUAAAAACAGUUUUGUUUUUUUUUGUUUGUUUGUUUGUUUUUGUAUUAGGGAUUGAAUGCACUGAGACAUAUCUCUAGCCCUUUUUAAUUUUUUUUUUUUUUUUUGAGACAGGAUCUUGCUAAGUUGCUUAGGGCCUUGCUAGUUGCUGAGGCUGGCUUUGAACUUGUGAUCCUCCUGUCUUAGCCCCCUGAGUUGCUGGAUUACAAAUGUGAGCCACCAUACCUGGCCUGGAAACACUUUUCUAAAUAUAUGAUUGUUUAAAACAUUGUUCUUUUUAAUGUUUUGCAUAUUUUUGAUGCAUUAAUGUUUUUUAAGUUUGCUAACAUAGUUUCAAAUUGUAUUUUAACAUUUUAAAGUUAUAUUUUGUUUUCUAUUAAUUGAGUUUUGAACAUAGCCUUGUUUGUGGCUAUUAAAAAAACAUUUUUCUAUGCUGAAAAUUGAACGCAGGGCCUAAUGCAUGCUAUGCAAGCACUCUACCACUCUACACUCCAGCCCAGUUUGUAGCUAUUUUCUGAAUAUUUUUGUAAUAUUUUUAUGUCCCCUGUUUGUCCCUAUUAGGAAUGUGAAUAAACAUGAAUAUCUGAAAUCUAGAGAGAAACGAAAAUGUAAUUUGUUUUAGUCUUUGCCUAUUUUCACUGUUGAGAACAAAUAGUAAAAUAGACUGCAUUUCAUUUUAUUUCCUAUUCUGAAAUUGGGGCUGGAAGCUCAAAAUUGGAGCUUGAAAAGCUUUAGAGGAAUCUAAAUGAGCUAGGAAAAUCUAGGAACUAACUAAAUAACCAGCUUCUGGGAAUUUGAUAGUAGUCUGUUUAAAAAAACUUAAAAAUUUACAUAGUUCAGGGUCAUUUAUGAAAUAAUUCCUUAAAAUUGAGAAUUUACAGCAUCAGUUUCACUCCUCCACAUUUAAAGUGGCAUUACAUUUUUUAAAAAAUAUUUUUCUUUAGUUGUAGAUGGACACAAUGACUUUAUUUUUAAUUUAUUUAUUUUUAUGUGAUGCUGAGGAUCGAACCCAGUGCCUCACAUAUGCUAGACGAGCUCUACUACUGAGCUACAACCCCAGCCCAGAUUUUUUGUAAAUUAAAAAAAAAAAAUUGUCAGUGUGAGGUAAGGGGAACCUUUUAAGUUUUAGGUUUCUAACCAGACAACCUAUUGAUUGUCUUCACCCUACACAUAUAAAGGCAAACUUUUUUUGUUGUGGUGUUCUGUUAGAGGAAAUUUUGAAAGACUGAAACUAAGUUCAAACUUGUUUAAAAUCAGCACAUUCUUCCUUAUUCUUUUAAAAAAAAUUUUUUUUUGAAGUUGUAGAUGGGCAGAAUGUCCUUAUUUUAUUUUAUUUUAUUUUUUAUUUUUAUGUGAUGCUGAGGAUUGAACCCAGUGCGUCACACAUGCUAGGCAAGCACUCUGCUACUGUGCUAUAGCCCCAGCCCUCUUCCUUACUCUUUAUAGUUUUUCUUAACUAAAACUAUCUGCUAAAUUAAAAAUUCCUUUACUUAAUCCAGGCUUUGAAGAAAAAAAAAAAGUAUUCAAAAUUUCCUGCAUAGCAGGUGUUUUGUUGCUGAUAAGUCAGUUGCCAUGAAGUUUAGUGCUAUUGAUAAUCAAGCUGAAAUGUUUCUCUUUUAUUAAAAUUGGACAGCAAANUGAAACAUCACUUUAGUAUAGAUGUAUAUGUUUACUUUUGUAUUUUUAAUUUUAUUUCGUUGUUUAUCCUUAUGCCAGCCACUACCACAGUGUUUUGACUACUAUAACAGUAUAAUAAGUUUGGGAUUAGGAAAUGAAAGUUUUAUUCUGGGUUUUUUUUUGAAGAUUAUUUUGUCUAUUCUAAGUCCCUUGCAUUUCUAUAUGAAUUUUAGGACUAGCCUGUCAAUUUUAGACAUGCCGUUUUAUAGUGGCAAUUUAGGAAUACCUUUUUUUUAAAAAUCCCCCUAUGCAUUUGUUUAUUUUUUAAGUUAAAGGCAAAUUCAUCAACCAGGGUCCUUACCUUUAGAGGUUCUGACCUUGGAGAUCCCGACAUUCUAGGCAUAUUACUAUUAUAUGGGGGGGGGGGCGAGACAGACAGACAGACAGACACACACACACACACAGAGACACCUAUCAAGGCUGUUUCCUGGCCUUUGUAGGAGAAGCACAUCCCUUCUCACUGAAAUCUUGGUGGUUUAUUGUGUAGGAAAAGACAGGGAAAAUUCCCCCAGCCCAUCCCACCUUUUUUUGCUGUGAUGGGGAUUAACUAGGACCUCAUGCAUGCUAUCAUUGAGCUGAAUCCCCAACUCUAAAAACAGUUUUGUUUUUUUUUGUUUGUUUGUUUGUUUUUGUAUUAGGGAUUGAAUGCACUGAGACAUAUCUCUAGCCCUUUUUAAUUUUUUUUUUUUUUUUUGAGACAGGAUCUUGCUAAGUUGCUUAGGGCCUUGCUAGUUGCUGAGGCUGGCUUUGAACUUGUGAUCCUCCUGUCUUAGCCCCCUGAGUUGCUGGAUUACAAAUGUGAGCCACCAUACCUGGCCUGGAAACACUUUUCUAAAUAUAUGAUUGUUUAAAACAUUGUUCUUUUUAAUGUUUUGCAUAUUUUUGAUGCAUUAAUGUUUUUUAAGUUUGCUAACAUAGUUUCAAAUUGUAUUUUAACAUUUUAAAGUUAUAUUUUGUUUUCUAUUAAUUGAGUUUUGAACAUAGCCUUGUUUGUGGCUAUUAAAAAAACAUUUUUCUAUGCUGAAAAUUGAACGCAGGGCCUAAUGCAUGCUAUGCAAGCACUCUACCACUCUACACUCCAGCCCAGUUUGUAGCUAUUUUCUGAAUAUUUUUGUAAUAUUUUUAUGUCCCCUGUUUGUCCCUAUUAGGAAUGUGAAUAAACAUGAAUAUCUGAAAUCUAGAGAGAAACGAAAAUGUAAUUUGUUUUAGUCUUUGCCUAUUUUCACUGUUGAGAACAAAUAGUAAAAUAGACUGCAUUUCAUUUUAUUUCCUAUUCUGAAAUUGGGGCUGGAAGCUCAAAAUUGGAGCUUGAAAAGCUUUAGAGGAAUCUAAAUGAGCUAGGAAAAUCUAGGAACUAACUAAAUAACCAGCUUCUGGGAAUUUGAUAGUAGUCUGUUUAAAAAAACUUAAAAAUUUACAUAGUUCAGGGUCAUUUAUGAAAUAAUUCCUUAAAAUUGAGAAUUUACAGCAUCAGUUUCACUCCUCCACAUUUAAAGUGGCAUUACAUUUUUUAAAAAAUAUUUUUCUUUAGUUGUAGAUGGACACAAUGACUUUAUUUUUAAUUUAUUUAUUUUUAUGUGAUGCUGAGGAUCGAACCCAGUGCCUCACAUAUGCUAGACGAGCUCUACUACUGAGCUACAACCCCAGCCCAGAUUUUUUGUAAAUUAAAAAAAAAAAAUUGUCAGUGUGAGGUAAGGGGAACCUUUUAAGUUUUAGGUUUCUAACCAGACAACCUAUUGAUUGUCUUCACCCUACACAUAUAAAGGCAAACUUUUUUUGUUGUGGUGUUCUGUUAGAGGAAAUUUUGAAAGACUGAAACUAAGUUCAAACUUGUUUAAAAUCAGCACAUUCUUCCUUAUUCUUUUAAAAAAAAUUUUUUUUUGAAGUUGUAGAUGGGCAGAAUGUCCUUAUUUUAUUUUAUUUUAUUUUUUAUUUUUAUGUGAUGCUGAGGAUUGAACCCAGUGCGUCACACAUGCUAGGCAAGCACUCUGCUACUGUGCUAUAGCCCCAGCCCUCUUCCUUACUCUUUAUAGUUUUUCUUAACUAAAACUAUCUGCUAAAUUAAAAAUUCCUUUACUUAAUCCAGGCUUUGAAGAAAAAAAAAAAGUAUUCAAAAUUUCCUGCAUAGCAGGUGUUUUGUUGCUGAUAAGUCAGUUGCCAUGAAGUUUAGUGCUAUUGAUAAUCAAGCUGAAAUGUUUCUCUUUUAUUAAAAUUGGACAGCAAAAAUAGUUUUGAUACCAGAAAUCCACACCAUUGCCUUUAAUGUGUAAAAGCAAUUGUUAACCCUUCAAAAGAUCAUGUGUAAACUUUCAAGGGUUAUUAACUGAUAUUACAGUGAAGUAACUCUGUAUUUAGUGCCUUUCUCAAAGAAUUGAAUACAGUUUACAAUAUUUCUGAGGUUAUAUUAAUGUUGUACUUAUAGUAAUUAAAAUGGCUUAAUGAUUUUAUAUAAACCUGGAUUAACUCAGUAAAAAUAUUAAAGGAAUGAAUUUCAUAGCUAAUCAUUAUUUAAAGGAAAAAAUAGGCAAUAUGCUUGAGUUAAAUACUUUAUAAACUUAAUUUUACAUAGUAAUCCUAGUCUAUAUAUGAGGCAUUUACAUAAAGACACUCAGUAUUCUUUAGUAAAUGUCACAUUGUAGCAAACUGAAGGUUUUAGUUAGGUGACUUUUUCUAGUGAGCAAAAAAUUAAUAAACAAGUUAUCUCAGGUGUUUUUAUUAUGAAAUAUGAAAUUUUCCUCAUUUCCCUUUUUAACCAGUAUAGAAGUCUCAUUUCAUUUGUUUGUUACUUCAUGGGUAUUGCCAAAUUGGAGCACUUAGUUAUAAAUAUCCACAAUUUAUUCUAUCAUUACGUGGGUAAGUUGGGAGGAUGAAAAUGGUUUUGAAAAAUCUGGAAUUGCUAUUAAUAGGAUUUUGAAAUGCAAAACAUUAUUAUAUAUGUAUAUGUAUAUGUGUGUGUGUGUGUGUGUGUGUAUAUAUAUAUAUAUAUAUAUAUAUAUAUAUAUAUAUAUAUAUAUAAAGUUUUAUUAUAAGGAACCAGGGAUUGAACUCAGGGGCACUUAACCACUGAACGACAUUUUAUUUAGAGGUAGGGUCUUACUGAGUUGCUCAGAGCCUCUCUUGAGUUGCUGAGGCUGGCUUUGAAUUUAUAGUCCACCUGCGUCAGCCUCCCAAACUGCUGGGAUUACAGGUGUGUGCUACCAUGCCUGGAGCAAAACAUUAUCAUAUUUUUGCUUUACUAUCUGGUUUGAAUUUAGUAUUUUAAAUGAGACAUUGAUACACAUGUUCUUUGGGGUUAUUUAUCCAUAUGAAAAGUUUUAAAUAUAUAUCUUUAGAAAAUUAGUCGAGAUGACCAGAGGAAUGCAGAAUAUAGGUAGUCUUUUUAUUACUUAUGAUUUCCCAAUAUCAGGGACUGGGGCUGUAGCUCAGUGGAAGAGCACUUGCCUUGCACAUGUGAGGCCCUGGGUUUGAUCCCCAGCAUCACAUAUAAAUAAAUAAAUGAGAAGAUAUUAAAAAAAGAGAAAAGAUUCCCAAAUAUUGCAGUUUGGGAUAUCUGGUUAGGAUGCUAUCCCAUCAGGUGGUAUACUAAAACUAAGUACAAAUGCACACAGGUGUAUGCAUUUACAGUUAACAAAUUUGCAAAUCAUUUUACAUGGUUAAUUUUUAAAAGGUACAAAAGGGAAUACAGUGUAAAAUCUCCUGCCAUCAAGAUCUCCGUAAAGGAAGUCACUGUUACCAAUUUCUUAGUAGCUUUCCACAGAUAAUCUAUGUAUAUACAGGCAAAUAACAUUCACCAAAAAAUGAAACAAGUAUUAUUGUAUAACUAUUAGCUAGUUAGCCAUGCCCAAAUAAUCUUCACUGCAACAAACUAUGAAAAUACAGACUAUAGAUUCAUCUUAUUUGGUUCCAUUAGUCUUGACAAGUAGACAUUCUAAAGUCAAAGAAUUUUAGAUUUCACUAAAUUUUACUGUGAGACCCUUAGGGGUGGUUUGUUUGUUUUGUAUUUUUGUCUAAAUUUUAAAAUAAAUUUGGAAGUAAAAAAAUCAAUAGUGUCUGCAUAAAGAAUGAUUUUUGAAUAUUGAUAUUGGAAAGGAUAAAAAUUUGAUGUUUUUUCUAGUCCUGCCCAUUAAGUCUUAGACAUUCUAAUCCUUUCCGAACUGCUUAAAUUAUUUAGGAAAGGAUGAGAAAACAGUUAUGCUUUGAAUCAUCCUGCACAUUUGAUUAAUAUAAGCUAUUUGGGACUAUCUCUUGAAAUUAUCCUCUUGAUAUCAUAAUUCUAAAACAGUUUACAGAAGCACCCUUAGAAAUCCAAAUGGAAAUGUGGUGCCAUAGGGAUUUAUAAAGGAAAGGGAAUAAGGAUUUGGUUUUCAGUUUUCUAAGUGUGGAAGAAUUAAAGGAUAUUAGAGUUGGAAGAAUUUUAGUAUUAAUCUUGUCCACAAAGUAGGCAUAAAUUGGCCAGAUGUGGGAGAAACAAAAAGACAAGCACAACAGCUGCUAGAUUUACAUCACUGGGUAGGGUUCUAGAGAAUGUUGCUAGAAUGGCCAGAGUUAACAAAGAUGAAAUUGGGAAGUGACUAGUGAACUGUGUGUUGAAAUUGAGAAGAUAUUUAUGCUCCUUCAUGGAAUUGAAGGAAUAGAAGUAUGGAAUCUAUGACAAGAAUGUUUGCUUGAUUUUAGAGAAAAGGGGAACGUAUAACAUAAUUAAAGCAAGUUGGUGGUGAUUGAUUUUAAACCCAAGGAAUGAGAGUUUUCAGUUGGUUGAAACAAAUACUUAAGUACAAUUUUCUUUUUAAUUAAUCUAUUGCUACUGAUAGGUAAAACACAAAAAAAGUACAGAAUAAGAAUUACCUAUAGCCUCUCCCUUUAAACUUAUCAUUUUCUUUAGAAAUGGAAAAAUCAAGAUCACUUAUACUAUAUAGUUUUGUGUCUUGAUACUUUUUGAAAAAUAUUUUUAGUCAUACGUGGUAGAUGGACACAAUAUCUUUAUUUAUUUUUUAUGUGGUGCUGAGAAUUGAACCUCAGUGCCUCACAUGUUCUAGGCAAGUGCUCUACCACUGAGCCAUAACCUAGCCUUAUAUUUUGAUACUUUUAAAUGAUACUAUCAUCAAGCAUUUUUCUCAUAUGAUUAGCUUUUUGGAAAAUUUUCAGUGACUCCAUAGGUUUCCAUGAAAUGGAUAGGCUGUUAUUUUUGAUUCCCUUUUGGAUACUUAGAUUCGGCCCAUUUUUUUCCCAAUCAUGAAUUAUGAGGACUAGAGUUAAGUACUGAUGUGAACAAGGUGCUAGCUUAAGAAAAUGCUCUUCUUUUUCCUGGAAGAAUAAAGAGUUGAGAAAGCUGAAAUUAAUUUCUUUUUAUUUUGAAAGUAAUAAUAACUACUUUGUUUAUAGAAUAGUACAGAAAAUUCAGAAUCUAAAUUUAAAAAAUGAUCUCACCACUGCUUGCUUCUGCUGUUUUUUUCUGAACCCUAUAUGUAUCUAUUUAGAUAGCUUUAAGGAUUUAAAUGGAAGAGAUGAGUUAUAAUUAAAAAAGAUUAGGGAGGAGUAACCUAGGGGUGAGAAAAGCAGUGUUUUAAAAAUGUAAUUUCUUUCCUUUGGUCAACCAACAAAUGUGAGUCACUUUUGUACCUUCAGCAAAUAGUUCUGACUGCCGAAAAUUGCUUGUUCUACAUGUUUUAAUUACUAUUUUUCAGCUUUAACACUAUCUUGCCAGUGGCUCUGAAGGAUACUUUUAGAGAUCCUGACUGAAAAUUUCAGUAUGUAACAAAAUGUUGACUAGAAGAGAUUAUAACUUGUGAUGUCAUGUUUAUUUAGAGAAAAACUGUUUUUAUAUGUUUUAUCCUCCUCUUAGCAAUUUUCAAGGCAAAAAUGGCACGGGAGGACUGUCAUUGCAGAUUUGUUGAAUUCCCAUCAAAAGGAUCUUUAAAGGUUCUUUACUAGAAGGGCUGAUCUAAGAAAAAAUAUCUUUAGACAGUUAAAUGUUUCAUGAUGUUUUUCAGACAAUACUGGAUAAAGUGACAGCAUGUAUUUGCUCAUUAGGUACCGAGUUUCUAAUUUUGUGAGUAUUCCAACAGAAUUGACAUAGGUGUAUUAAAAUAGGUUGAUCAUCCUGAUCUAGAGUGUAUGUAUCCUUUAUUAUCAUUAAAAAUGAAAAAUACAGAUUGUUGUAUAAACAGAACACUGAUACAGUAUAGUAUCUUUUACAUAUGUAAGCCAUCCUAUAAAUAGGACAUUGGGCAAAUAUGGUACCUGAGAUGCUGGGACAAAAUGGGUAUUAUAUUUUGUAGUGACUUGUCCAAAGUUAUUUAAUAAAUGUCAGUAAGAGCUAUAGUAACAAGGAAAUGUAGAUAGGGCAGGAAGUGAUGAUAUUUCUUUAUUUUUCAUUUUUCUUUAUAAAUUUAUUUGUUUAUUCUAAUUAGGUAUAUAUGAUAGCUGGAUGCAUUUUGAUUCAUUGUACACAAAUGCAGCACAAUUUUUCAUUUCUCUAGUUGUACACCAUGUAGCAUCACACCAUAUGUGCAGUCACACAUGUACCAAGGGUAAUGAUGUCCAUCUUAUUCCACCAUCUUUUGAUGUGUCUUAAAAGUAUCCUUUCUUUGGGUUUCACCUAAAGCUUUUUCGAGAAACUGAGUCACUUGACUCCUUCUUUUAGGCAUCUGAACUUGACCCUAUGACCCGGACCUGAGCAUAGCCCAAAGUGAUCCUUUCUGCCAUCUUUCACAUAUGUACUCUAUGAUCUUGCGCUGGGCAUACCCAGAAAUGUGUCCACUGUCAUUCCAGUUGAACUGUGCCUCGAACUGAGCAUGCUCAGAAAUGUGCCUGCCCACCCCAUGUAUGCUUUCCUAAAUAAAUGUGCAUUAGCUCCCCAAUAGAAUCCCCAUGCUUCCUUUCCUCAGGGAGAGCAUAACUUUACAGACAACUGAUGCUUGCUGCAGGUCAUAUAAGUCUUUCUCCAUUCUUUUAUCUUCUGAUUGUGCUCAUUAGAUUCAUGACCACUAAGUGGAGAACCCAAUGCUUUUGGUUACAUUUUUAUGACUUGAUAACUCAUUUAAAGAUAUCUUUUUAAAAUGCAAACGAGAGCCUUCCUGGUGUGGCUUGCCUGGAAGUCCCAGCUCUUCAAGAGGCUGAGGUAGGAGCUUGCAGUGUACUGUGGAUCAAUAGUGGGAUCCUGUCUGUGAACAGCCGCUGUACUCCAGCCUGGGCAGCACCCUGAGGCCACUUACCAUCCUUAAAAAUAAUGAAAAAUGUAAAUCAGAUGACUUUGUCCUCUUUAAAACCUUCUGCCCUGCCUGGCAGGAUGGCACAUAUCUAGAAUUCCAGUGAGUUGAGAGGCUGAGUCAGAAGGAUCGCAUGCUGGAGACUGGCCUUGCCAACUUAGUGAGACCCAAAUUGCUGAGGCUGGCCUCAAACUUGUGAUUCUCCUGCAUCAUCUCCUCAGUAGCUGGGAUUGGAUGGUUACCUCAGCAUUUGGCUCUUAUUCCCUUUUUAACAUAUGCUCCACCAGGUUCCAGGUUUGCAGACAUCCAUGGCCCAAAUGGCAGUAUUUAUCUUUCUUUCUCUUUGAGUCUUUUGGUCAACAGUUACUGCCUAGGAAAGGAAAUUUGCCAUAUUGUUUGAUGCAAAGUCCUUAUUUGUCUAUGGUAUCUGAAAGGAAAGCGAGGAACCUGGAGAUGGUGAGUGAGAAAUCAAAGUCCAAGACCAGGUAGAGAUACACAGGAGAGUUUAUUUGACAGAGCUUACAAAUAAAGGCACAUCUCUCAUAGAUGGAGAGAGUCCCAGUUAUUUAUUUUUGAGGGGAUUUGGAUGUAAGGAUGGUUUAGGCAUAUUACUGAUGAUGUUUUAUAGGAAGCGUCUAUUUAUCCUUCUCUCACCCUUCCAAAAGAAAAAAAAAAAAUUCAACAUCUACCUGUGUUAUAGAACUAAAAUAAAUAAAUAAAAAUACACCUAACUUGAGUCACGGAGUGUGCACGAUCCGUUCACGAGGUGAUGACUUGGUGUUGGGGUCGGGAGGUUUUCGAAAAAAAUUUCUAAUUUUUCCUCCACCGACCCCAACAUCGAGUCACCAUCUCGUGAGCGGGUCGUGCACGCUCUGCGACCCAAACUAGGAGUCGUGGUGUAUUGUUAUUUAUUUUAUUUCUAUAAUCUUUUUUUUAAUUUUUCCUUUAAAUCACUUUAGGUAGUAAACUUGAGUAAUAUGUCAUAUGUCAGAUAGAAGACGGAUAAAAGGUUAAAAAAAAUUUUCAGAUUUCGAUUUGGAAGAAAAUUUUUUUAAAAAAAAUCAACAUCUACCUGUGUGUUAUAGAAACAAAUAAUUAAAUAAUAAAAAAAUACACCACGACUUCGAGAUUAGGUCACGGAAUGUAAACGUUCCGUUCGCGAGAUCGUGACUCGAUACCGGGGUCGGGAGGUUAAGAAUGUCAAUAGUUUUCACUUCGUAUAGGUCCAAAAUAAAAAUCACAAAUUGAAUGACAACUGGAAUUUUUCAAACAACUUCCUCUUUAAAGUUUUAGUAAAAAAGAAUUUCUUAUUUAUACGAUCUAAUAAUACACAUAAAUAAAAUUUCAUAUUUCAACAAUAGUUUAAUUUAUUUUUUACAGAAACCCAAAGUUCUCCAUCUGGAUUGUUGAAUAAAUUUACAAAAUUAAUCUUUAAAGUUCCUACGGAGUGAACACUGAAGACCUUUUUUGAAUUUGUAAAUUUUUUUAUAAAAAUCAACAUCUACCUGUGUUAUGGAAAUAAAUAAAAAUCCACCACGACUCCUAGUUUGGGUCACGGAGUGUGUACGAUUCGUUUACAAGAUGGUGACUCGACGUUGGGGUUGGGUUUAAAUUUAUAAAAAAUUACUGAAUAAAUAUUGUAGAAAAAUCGAUUUAAAAUCAAAUCAACAAUUAUGUUCACGUUUUUACUAUACUAUUGUAUUAUAGUAAGAGUAUAAUUUUCAUUGUAGAACGGACACGUUUUUCCUAAGACCUAACUACAUGUAGUUUGACAAUUGACUUUAGUAGAAUUAAUCUCGUCCUUCUCCUUUUUUUAUCCAUGGUUCUUUAAACAAGAAGAAAUUUUAAAAAAAAAAUCAACAUCUACCUGUGUUAUGGAAAUAAAAAUCAAAUAAAAAUAUACCACUAUCCCUAGUUUGUGUCACGGAAUGUACGAUCCGUUCGUGAGAUGGUGACUCGGUGUUAGGGCCGGGGUUCUUUAAACAAGAAAAUUUCCCGAAUGUACUAAGACUUAAAUAUUAGAAGGUUCCUACGACUUUAAUGUUAAGGGAAAAAAAGAAAAAGUACAAUUUUUAGUAAAUGUCUCUAAAACUAACAAAUUACAACCCCUGACACUUGGAUCCUGGAAUAUGUACCAUCCGCUCACGAUAUCGUAACUCGAAGUGAGGGUUGGGUUAAACGUUUCUACAAACUAUGAGCAAACACAACCUAAUAUUAUUCUAAACUAAAUGUGGUCCAGUAUCGAUCACCUGUAAGUCAGUCUCAUGACGAAAAACAUUUUACGAAAACACUAGUUGACUAUUCUCUAGGAUAGAUUCAAACUUGGAAGUAACAUUAAAAGAAGAAACCUGGUCGUUUCCAUAACUAUCGACAAAAACGGUCAAUUAUUAUUUUUAACGAGACGUUCUUAAAAAACUAAUUCUUCCCAUUCGACUUAAGAAGGUCUCAAAACAAUCGAGAAUUGUGUUCUUGGAUCCUUCCCUUUGUAUAUUUUUUGUACAUGAAGUGAAAAAUUUUUAUUAAAAUAACUCUAUAAAAAAAUAUACGGAAUAUUAAGUGAGGAACUUGUACAUGUUAAGUCUGACCCCCAACCUCGAGUCACCAUCUCGGACACAACCUAGGGGUCAUUAUGUUAUCUUUAUCUUUAUCUUAAGUCAAGUAAAAAAAAAACCGUUAUAAGUAACUAUACACGUCAGUAGUAGUUUAUGUUAAAUUCUUGUAAAAGUAGUGAAAUUCCUCUUUGGAGACAUUGGAAAUAGUAAGUAGGGGAUGGAAUGAAAGGAUGGAAGUUCGUUAGGUAAAGAGAUAAAAGACAGACACAUAUAAAGGGACAAGACGUGAAACUAUACUUACUUUAACAUUAUCAUACACCAGAAAACUGUUGACAUAGAAAGUGAAUCACAUUACAAAAGGUUCAAAGGAGUCACAACCUCUUACAUUGUUAUGAAAUAGAAGGUGUGAGGGGGGGAAAAAAACCAUGGUCCGCAACUUGGGUCGUUGGUAACUCCGUGUAGGAGUCGAGAAAAUAAAAUAAAAUAAAUUUUUUAAAAAAACUCUAUCCCAGAACGAUUUAAUCGAUCCCGGAGCGAUUAAACGACUCCGACCGGAACUUGAACACUAGACGGACGGAGUCGGAGAGUUUAACGACCCUGAUGUCCACACGUGGUGACGUGGACCGGAUGAAGUAAGGAAAAAUACUGGGUUAUUAUGAGGUAACAUACCCAUAUAGUGAAACAAAAAUUCUGCUCAUCAGUUGAUGGACAUUUGGAUUAUUUCCACUAUUUAGUUAUUGUGAAUAAUACUGCUACGAACAUUCAUAUACAAAUUUCUUUGUGGACAUGUAUGUGCUUAAUUCACAAGUACUGAUCAAAUUAACAAAUAAGCCAGCUGAAAAUGAGCCUGAUGGGUACUGAUGUACAUACCUACACUUAAAAAUGUAGCCACUUGGGUGUGGGUUCUUUUGGGGGGACAACAAAAUGUUAUAAAAUUGAUUUUGAAAUAUAUGUGUAUUUAAUAUAUUGUCAUCUCUUAUUUAGGCUUUACAGUAAGUUUUUGACAUGGUGACAGUAAAACCUAGGUUCUUUGUUAAUCACCUCAACUUCGAAGUUUUUUUUUUUUAAGUUGUAGAUAAAAUACCUUUAUUUUAUUUAUUUAUGUGUUGCUUAGGAUAGAACCCAGCGCCCCAUGCAUGCAAGGCAAGUGCUCUACCACUGAGCCACACCCCAGCCCUGAAGUUUUUAAUAAAAGGAUAUAUAUAUAUGCGCAAAUAUAUUUAUCUGUAUGGAUAUAUAUGUGUGUGUCUAUAUAUGUGUAUAUAUCUAAAUAACAUAUUCAUUUGAAGUAUUUAAGUUAUUGCUUAAUUUGUUUCAAAGAAAAUGUUCAUGAUCAAUAAAUAUCUGUGUUAAUAAGUUUGUGAAAUUGUAUUAGAGAAAAGGAAUGCCCCUUCUACUGGGAAUUCCUGAGUAAAAUGCUAUCUGGAUAUCUGAAUUUCUUAAUAAAUAACUUACUUCUUCAAGGGCUUCUUAAUCAGAAUACAGAUUCUGAAGGUAAUUUAAUUCUCUUGUGUGCUCAGUAGUCUGACUCACUGUAUUUUUUGACCUGGUCAUGAAUGAAUGUCCAAAUAGAAGAAAUAACAAAUGGAUUUGUAAUCAGGCAAUGUGUAGUCAUUAGUGCCUUCGAAGGAGGUUCCUUGUGCAUCAUGAUCCCUAUUAGGAAAAAUGUUCUUUCUAAGUUAAGAACUGAGGGGCUGGGUUUGUGGCUCAGUGGUAGAGUGCUUGGCUAGCAUGUGUGAGGCACUGGGUUCAAUCCUCAGCACCACAUAAAAACAAAUAAAUAAAUGAUGUUAUUUUAGAAAAUCCCUAAGAUAAAAAACAACAAAACUGAGGAGUGGAGUAGCUAAUAUUGUUUCCCAAGGUAUAUUACUGUUAUUAUAUUAAUUUUACUCUAUUGAAUGCUAAAUUUACUAAAUUUUACUUAAUAUCAAUAAAAUAGUAAAAUUUAGUAAAUUUGGCACUGAAGAAAAAUAAACCUGUUAAAGAGAGUUGUUAUGUUUAUUAGUGAUCUUUUAUUUCACAGAUUAAAUUGACAUUUCUCAUGUUUUCUUUGUCGUGAUUUACUAAUUUAGUAUUUAUACAAUUACACAGCAAUAAAGUGUAGUGAUCUGAUUCUGUUAUUCUAAUUAGUUGAAGACUAAGAAAAUAGCCUGUUUCUUCUCUUUUCUUAAAAUUUUAUUCUUUUCAAGCUCUCUCAAGUUUACUAAAGGGUUUAGAAUAGGAAUUGUAAAGUAUUUGUUUUUCUGGUGUCUAAUGCUUAUAUGAUGAAAAAAUACUAUGGCAUCUUGACUCAGGUCAAGAUUUAGUUGUUUUAAAGCACAAAUUCUUGAGUUAGUUUCUUAGUAUGUCUCAAAAGAACUGAAAUGGGAUUUUAAAAGGUCUGUUGCUGAUAUUUUCUAACUUAAUGCUGUAUGUUAAAAUUUCAUACUUAUAUUCAUUAAUUAUAUACCAUUAUGGGUGAUUAUGGAAUAUGAGCAUAUGUGUGUGCAUGUCUAUAUGUGUAUAUAUAGUAAAUUACAUUUAUCAAAGCAUGUAGAAUUGCAUUGAUAACAGUUUAAAAUCAUACUGUGAAUGAUAGUGGUUAAAUUAAGGAAAAACAACUUACCAGAGCAUAAGAUUUGUAAGAUAAGAAUAAUAUUUAUGUAGUCUAGAGUUAUUGUAUUCUCCAGUCAUUUUUUACCUCUUUCUCUUUUGUUAAACUAAAUAUCUAUAAACUAAAUAUUAAAUAUCUUUGAAUUUUAGGGAGAAAAAAAUAGUGGCUUUGACGUUCUCUACCAUAAUAUGAAACAUGGACAGAUAUCAACAAAAGAACUAGCAGAUUUUGUAAGAGAAAGGUAUGUAUUUGUUAUAAGUAAUUUGUUAAACA
rnacentral:lncRNA from 1 species